rnacentral:rRNA from 1 species
UUGUCCGGAAUUACUGGGCGUAAAGCGCCCGUAGGCGGAUUGGUCAGUCAGGGGUGAAAUCCCGGGGCUCAACCCCGGAACUGCCUUUGAAACUGCUGGUCUGGAGGUCGAGAGAGGAGAGUGGAAUUCCGAGUGUAGAGGUGAAAUUCGUAGAUAUUCGGAGGAACACCAGUGGCGAAGGCGGCUCGCUGGCUCGAUACUGACGCUGAGGUGCGAAAGCGUGGGGAGCAAACAGG